rnacentral:sRNA from 1 species
UAGAGUCGCCUUAUUACCCGAUAACAAGAUGGCUCG